rnacentral:rRNA from 2 species
UGUCGUCAGCUCGUGUCGUGAGAUGUUGGGUUAAGUCCCGCAACGAGCGCAACCCUCGUCCUUAGUUGCCAUCAUUUAGUUGGGCACUCUAAGGAAACCGCCGGUGAUAAGCCGGAGGAAGGUGGGGAUGACGUCAAGUCCUCAUGGCCCUUACGCGCUGGGCUACACACGUGCUACAAUGGCGGUGACAGUGGGCAGCAAUCUCGCAAGGGUGAGCUAAUCUCCAAAAGCCGUCUCAGUUCGGAUUGUUCUCUGCAACUCGAGAGCAUGAAGGCGGAAUCGCUAGUAAUCGCGGAUCAGCAUGCCGCGGUGAAUACGUUCCCGGGA